AGACCCGAAACCCGGUGAUCUAGCCAUGGGCAGGUUGAAGGUUGGGUAACACUAACUGGAGGACCGAACCGACUAAUGUUGAAAAAUUAGCGGAUGACCUGUGGCUGGGGGUGAAAGGCCAAUCAAACCGGGAGAUAGCUGGUUCUCCCCGAAAGCUAUUUAGGUAGCGCCUCGUGAAUUCAUCUCCGGGGGUAGAGCACUGUUUCGGCUAGGGGGCCAUCCCGGCUUACCAACCCGAUGCAAACUGCGAAUACCGGAGAAUGUUAUCACGGGAGACACACGGCGGGUGCUAACGUCCGUCGUGAAGAGGGAAACAACCCAGACCGCCAGCUAAGGUCCCAAAGUCAUGGUUAAGUGGGAAACGAUGUGGGAAGGCCCAGACAGCCAGGAUGUUGGCUUAGAAGCAGCCAUCAUUUAAAGAAAGCGUAAUAGCUCACUGGUCGAGUCGGCCUGCGCGGAAGAUGUAACGGGGCUAAACCAUGCACCGAAGCUGCGGCAGCGAACGUAUCACUUAAAGCGAUUCAGCGGAUGACGAUUGACGGAGCGAAGCGACGUCAAAGCGUAUACAAAGUCGAGUCGGUUUAAGGAUACGUUCGUUGGGUAGGGGAGCGUUCUGUAAGCCUGUGAAGGUGGCCUGUGAGGGUUGCUGGAGGUAUCAGAAGUGCGAAUGCUGACAUAAGUAACGAUAAAGCG
rnacentral:rRNA from 1 species